AUGGGGUUGCUGCUGCUGCUUCACGUCGUCCUGGCCGCGGCGGCGGCGGGAGCCCCAGCGGCGCAGGCGUGGGGCAAGGAGGGGCACUACAUGACCUGCAAGAUCGCCGACGGUUUCCUGACGAGCGGGGCGUCGGCGGCGGUGAAGGAGCUCCUGCCGUCGUGGGCCAACGGCGAGCUCGCGGAGGUGUGCGCGUGGGCGGACAAGCAGCGCUUCCGGUACCGGUGGUCCAGCCCCCUGCACUUCGCCGACACCCCCGGCGACUGCAACUUCAGCUACGCCAGGGACUGCCACGACACCAAGGGGAACAAGGACGUGUGCGUGGUAGGAGCUAUCAACAACUACACCGCCGCGCUGGAGGACCCCUCCAGCCCGUAUGAUCGGACGGAGAGCCUGAUGUUCCUGGCGCACUUCGUGGGCGACGUGCACCAGCCGCUCCACUGCGGCCACGUGGACGACCUCGGCGGCAACACCAUCAAACUCCGCUGGUACAGGAGGAAGAGCAACCUGCACCACGUGUGGGAUUCAGACGUGAUCACACAGGCCAUGAAGGACUUUUACAACAGGGACCAGGACACCAUGAUCGAGGCCAUCCAGCGCAACAUCACCGAGGUCUGGUCCAGCGAGGAGAAACAGUGGGAGGCGUGCGGCAGCCAAACCAAGAUCACCUGCGCCGAAAAGUACGCCAAGGAGAGCGCAUUGCUGGCCUGCGACGCGUACGAGGGCGUCGAGCAAGGCGACACCUUACGAGACGACUAUUACUUCCGGGCGCUGCCGGUUGUCGAGAAGAGGAUCGCUCAGGGGGGCGUGAGGCUGGCGGUGAUCCUUAACCAGAUCUUCAGUGGGAAGAAUAGUAGGCUGCAGAGCAUCUGA
rnacentral:rRNA from 1 species